CAGAGUUACUACAAACUAUACGGUAUCUGAAGACACGUCGAUUCGAAUUAACAUCAAAUCGACGUCUUAAACAUUAAAAAUAAUAGAUAAACACAAUUUAAUAGUUUUGCCCACUUCUCACACCUCGUUAUGGUAUUUAAUCUAAUUUCCUUCUAAUCUUAGUUUUGCUCAAAAUACAUAUAACAUGUACGUUAUAAAUUGGAGUAUUUCAAUACACAAAUCAAUAGAAGAUUAUUACUGUAUAUAAGUAUAAUUUCAAUACAAUUCGAUCGAUAUAUUUCAGUAUCUUUGAUUAAAAAUUUAACGAUCCUUUCAGGCUGACCGCGGCGGACCACUGCUGAUACAACAUGAAUUAACCUCGUAUUUAAUAGGUAUUGUGUCUUAUGCUUAUAAGUGCGGCACAGCUGGGUAUCCCAGCGUUUACACUAGGGUCACAUCGUACCUUGACUUCAUUCUCCAAGCGAUGCAAUAAUAUGAUAUUACUGUUCCAUAAAUAUCAUUGUGUAAAAAACGUAAAGUUGGAUUUUCUUAUUGUGGAGAUAAGAAACAGCUCAAAUUUACAUUGUUUUGUACGUUACAAAUUAUAGGCUUAAAAUGUACGAAAUGUAACUUUGAAACGACACUAAUUUUUUACGCACGAUAAACCUCCACGACUUAGAUUAUAGAUUCCUAUACGACUCUCAGUAAAAAUUUAUCCGCACUCCAGAUAGUUAAAACUUCUGUCGACCGUAUUGAUCCAUCUGCACUCUUCGUAUGACGUCAAUAUCUGUUCAGUGCUGCUGCGCAGGUUUCUUUGUGUUACGUCAAUUCGUUUGUGACCGUUGCGCGAGUAAUGGCGCUUUGCAAUGGUGAUUUGCAGGAAAACAGUGCAGGAUGCUGUGAUUCGUUUCUUGUGGUCGGAGGUUAUGUUUGAUGCCUAUAUUUAUCAAAGAUUUAAUGCACAUUAUGGAGAAAGUGUUUUGUCACGAAGUGUGUUUGAAUGGGCACAAAAGUUCAAAGAAGAUCGCACGAGUGUUAUGAAAAAACAGCUGGACGCCCGUCCACAUCCACGAUGACAACAUUGAACGUGCUCAUGAACUUAUGCUCUAUGGAAUAGACGAGUGACACUGGAUAAUGUGGCAAAUCAUUUGCAAAUCAGCCACGGCUCUGCUUAUGCAAUAGUGCACGACAGAUUUGGAUUUUAAAAAGUUUGUGCGAGAUGGAUGCCGAAAAAGCUGAUGAAAAGGUGAAGACGACGAUGCAUUCGUGGUUCGCAGCUCAGCCCAAAACAUUUUUUAAUGAGAAAAUACAAAGGUCCUUCGGCAAAUGGACAAAGUGUAUACAGAAAUCGAGUGAUUAUGUCAAAAAAUGAUGUAUGUCUUUUUUGACAAUUGCUUAAAAUAAAUUCUACACCGACAGAGCGGGCUGUUAAUCUAGAGGCUGGAGUACAAAGAAGUGGCACAAUGAUGUGGGCUGAUGACAUUUAUAAUUAUCAAGGAAUCACCCCUACAUUCGCUCAGAAUUUUAAUGAAACUGUCCCUUGGGAAGGAAGAACUGAUACCUUGAUAUCACGGUUUGUACAUCCUAUAUAUACGACAAAUUUUAGAACAUUAUAUAACGAAGAACCAGAUCGUCGUGGCCAUGUGAUGUGAAUAAAAGGACUUGAAUUUGAUGAUAUUUUUAUAAUGUUAGAUAACAUAACUAAGUAUCUUCACAGUAAGAUAGGAUGACAUGGUUUACAUGAUCUUAAUGUU